rnacentral:rRNA from 1 species
CCUUCGGGGGACGAUAACGGCGUCGAGCGGCGGACGGGUGAGUAAUGCCUAGGAAAUUGCCCUGAUGUGGGGGAUAACCAUUGGAAACGAUGGCUAAUACCGCAUGAUGCCUACGGGCCAAAGAGGGGGACCUUCGGGCCUCUCGCGUCAGGAUAUGCCUAGGUGGGAUUAGCUAGUUGGUGAGGUAAGGGCUCACCAAGGCGACGAUCCCUAGCUGGUCUGAGAGGAUGAUCAGCCACACUGGAACUGAGACACGGUCCAGACUCCUACGGGAGGCAGCAGUGGGGAAUAUUGCACAAUGGGCGCAAGCCUGAUGCAGCCAUGCCGCGUGUGUGAAGAAGGCCUUCGGGUUGUAAAGCACUUUCAGUCGUGAGGAAGGCGGUGUAGUUAAUAGCUGCAUUAUUUGACGUUAGCGACAGAAGAAGCACCGGCUAACUCCGUGCCAGCAGCCGCGGUAAUACGGAGGGUGCGAGCGUUAAUCGGAAUUACUGGGCGUAAAGCGCAUGCAGGUGGUUUGUUAAGUCAGAUGUGAAAGCCCGGGGCUCAACCUCGGAAUUGCAUUUGAAACUGGCAGACUAGAGUACUGUAGAGGGGGGUAGAAUUUCAGGUGUAGCGGUGAAAUGCGUAGAGAUCUGAAGGAAUACCGGUGGCGAAGGCGGCCCCCUGGACAGAUACUGACACUCAGAUGCGAAAGCGUGGGGAGCAAACAGGAUUAGAUACCCUGGUAGUCCACGCCGUAAACGAUGUCUACUUGGAGGUUGUGGCCUUGAGCCGUGGCUUUCGGAGCUAACGCGUUAAGUAGACCGCCUGGGGAGUACGGUCGCAAGAUUAAAACUCAAAUGAAUUGACGGGGGCCCGCACAAGCGGUGGAGCAUGUGGUUUAAUUCGAUGCAACGCGAAGAACCUUACCUACUCUUGACAUCCAGAGAACUUUCCAGAGAUGGAUUGGUGCCUUCGGGAACUCUGAGACAGGUGCUGCAUGGCUGUCGUCAGCUCGUGUUGUGAAAUGUUGGGUUAAGUCCCGCAACGAGCGCAACCCUUAUCCUUGUUUGCCAGCGAGUAAUGUCGGGAACUCCAGGGAGACUGCCGGUGAUAAACCGGAGGAAGGUGGGGACGACGUCAAGUCAUCAUGGCCCUUACGAGUAGGGCUACACACGUGCUACAAUGGCGCAUACAGAGGGCAGCCAACUUGCGAAAGUGAGCGAAUCCCAAAAAGUGCGUCGUAGUCCGGAUUGGAGUCUGCAACUCGACUCCAUGAAGUCGGAAUCGCUAGUAAUCGUGGAUCAGAAUGCCACGGUGAAUACGUUCCCGGGCCUUGUACACACCGCCCGUCACACCAUGGGAGUGGGCUGCAAAAGAAGUAGGUAGUUUAACCUUCGGG